rnacentral:lncRNA from 1 species
AUUACAAUCUUCUUCUAGAUUGGACACAUCAUGAAGAUGUUGAUGCAUCACUACAUGUUAGAUAUCUUCAAUAAUUUAUCGUAGUCCAUUUUUGUCAAGGUUGUCGAUGAAGAUCUAGUGCCAUGAAAAGCUGGCCAGCUCCACCAAGACCACAUAUUCGUUACAAUAAGCUUGAGAUUCACAGAUAAAGAAUUACAGUGGACAGACCAAAAGCCUGCCUAACCUUCCACAUCAAUCAGACGAUACACUUAUCAGAACCUUCUGUUAGAAACCUCUCAGCAAUCACCCAUGUUCCCCAAGACAAUGACCCUAUGAAGCCCCCUUGUACACUGAAACAAGAGAAACAAAAUGAUCAACACGACUGAAGACACACGAGUUAAUAAAGGUCAGAUGCUAGAUGCAGGUAAACCUACUGAUAUCGUGGACCGAAUCAAACUAUCAGCUUUCAGCCAUCUCCACAAACAGGAUCUACUUGCUCAUCUGCUCUUGAUUCCUCACCCAAAUGUUUUCUAAGUUUCUCCUGCAUGUAUUCAAACAGCACAUAGAAAGCCUUGAAAUAGUUGCUCGGAAAAAAAGGGGGUACAAAGGCUUGAAAUAGAAUCCAAAAAGAAGGAAUAUGGAACACACGUUCUAACCAAAGAUGGAAGAGGUAAGAAGUACAGGCCAAGACUUACAGCAAGACUGGCAUUUUCUGAUGUCAAUUUAUCACAAUCCCCGUGCAUACGCUCCAAUUCUUCUUUUAGUGAAUUAUUUUCCUCUUUUAGAGUCAUCACACGAUUGGCGAGUUCUUCACAUUCAGCCUGGAUGGGAUCAUUUCAUAUUAGUGAAACAAUCAAGAAGCUUUAUAUAUUAACUAUAGUAGAAGAGCUUCUUAACAAUUAAUAAUGAUGAUCACAAGUUGCCAGUCCACUCAAUAUCCUUUCUGCCACAUAGAAGUUAGAUAUGUGGUAUCUCUUAUGUCCAUAUCCUCUACUGGCAGCAUGAGCAUAUGAAAAAAGCUGCAAGCUUCACACUAUUAAAAGAUAUGGUUACUACUAAACAUCUAACGUUUCAGAUACAAGAAAAACAAGAUUGUAUAUGUUCAAAAGAGGAUAUUUUAAUGAUGGGUAAAGCCAGCCAGUGUUGUUUAGCCUUUACUAAUACACUGUAUUGGUAAAUAUAAAACUCUUUAAAUGCACCCUCUUACAACACAUACUGUUGUACCAAGAAACAGAAUACCUCCACUAAAAACUAGUGCAUUUAUCCUUCCGGAUAAUGAUAUUGCUCAAACGGUGGAAAACCAUAUCCAAACAUUUCCUACAUGGAUGGGACAACAACCAUCCAUCACUCCAACUUGGAUACUGCAUGUGUCAGAUAUUAGUUUAUAACUAUAGUUUAGAAACUUCAAUGUCACAAAUAAUUGCAACUACAUGAAAGAUAUGGGAGUUUUGCCAACAUUGGUCAAACUAAGUGAUGGUAUAUACCUGCUUACGUAAUCGUGAGCGGCGUGCAGAUUCCCUGUUAGAUUGUUUUCGCUUUUGUCUCUUCAGUUCUCUUUCAUCCUUAGAUUGGAAGGAAAAAAGGUAAAUAAGUCUAAGAAAACAAAAAUAUGAAAGAGAAUGCAGUUUCAGGGCUUGCUACCUGCAUCGAAGGAUCAGGUGGAACACUGUUUUGUGAACCUGCAAGACCAGAUGGAACCAAGGGUGCCAUAGAUGGGGCAGCAGGAACUUUGCCUCGGAGUGCAGAAAUAGAAGCAGAACCUCCCCAGUAGUCCAUCCCAAUGUUCAGGGUGGUGGUUGGACCAGCAAGGCCACCCGGUGGGAUUGUCACAAAUGGCACAGUUGGGUUCGACACAAUUGGCGUAGAUGGUGUAUGUGUAACUUCAUUUGAUGUGGUUCGAGCAGUGCUGCCUUUCUGAGCUUCCUCUGCAGCCACAAAUGAUAUACCAGUAACAAUUUAUGGUCAUGCUGGAAUUCUUGUUAGAGAAAGGAACUCUAUAUGCUUCAAUCAUACCAUCGCCUGAACCAUGUUCAGAACCAUGAUUUCGCUGGGAACCCUGCAAGCAAAUAUCUAAGUUGUAAGUGUUUUUCAUUAAUCUGGGGGAACAUGAGUACAAGAUAAUGAUAUCUUGCUGAUAACUAUUGGAAUGCAAAGAAAUUAUGUUUAGAACACAGUUUGGGACGGCAAACAAGCUCAAGCACUAAGUUGUUUAGGCUCUAUCCUGUGUGCAUUAAAGAUAAAAUAAGAGAGGGAGGGGGGAAAAAAAGAAGAAUACUCAACCACAGGUCCAGGACACAGCAUAAUGUCUUCUAGCUCUAUAAAACCUAGCAGAUAAAUUGAAAUUUACUCAGAGCUGGAAAAUAGGAUGCUUGGAACUUAAAUACUAAUUAGAGGAGAAUAAAGAUGAAACGAAUGGCGUUCAACAGUCUUUUCUAAUCUUCAUCAAAGAAAACAGUCUUUUCUAAUAAAUUACAUUGUCAGCAUAUGAAAUAUGACUCUUCGCCAUGCACAUCUAACCUUCCACACUAACUUUGGAAGUAGUUCGCUUAGUGCAACAUGGAUGCUUAUAAUUGAAAAACAUAUGAUUAAGAGAUCAUGCACCCAUUGUAUGCAGAGAAUACUUAAGCCUAGACAGCUAUCAUUUAAAACAAUUUCACUAUAGAAAAUAUUUAUAUGUUGGCAUAUCAGUUUAAGAAGACUCUUGGAACAAUACAACAUAUUAAAAAAGAUACAUUUUUCCUUUUUCUCUUUUUUUCACUUUGUAACAUGUUAAUAUAAAUGUUGUAAUGAUUUAUAUCGGUUGAGGGCAUGACCAUUAUAACUACAGUUUUAGCACAUGGAAUGCACAUGACUUAUUCAAGAGAAAGGAGCAUUGGUGGGUGGCCAUGGUCCCACCUAACAAGAUGAGCUUAACCUGAGUCUCGGUUAAGAACGGCGAUGAUCUACAUUUCACACGGCGCACGAUUCCAUGGAUAGUUUCAUUCGACAUCAUGGAGGACAUAGAUUUAAAGAGCAUGCUCCCUCUUUACUCUAUGUAUUUCUCAUUUCUCUUUGUUACUCGUUUUAGAAUGAAUGUAAAUGGAUGCCUUGAUUAAAAAAGGGGUUAACCGAUAAAAUCAGGAAAGCAAGAGGAAGUCCAUUUGAAAGUCUCAUGCAGCUCAAAUAUGUCAGGGUUGGAAGAUGAAAAAGUAGGGGGUGGAGAUGCAUAGGCCCCACCCCAAGAGUUCGCAUUAGAACAGUAAAGAUUAGGAUAAUACUGAUAUUAUGAUAUUGGCAUGUCAAAGAAAUACAUAUGGAAGCACAACUUUUUUUGAAAGAAGAAACAACCAAUAAUGAGCAUUACUUGUGUAGCCAAUGUAUGUCAACAGAACCUAAUCGAUUAGCUUCAAAGCAAAGACAACUCAUACAGUUCUGAUGUACAUAUUACAAUCUUCUUCUAGAUUGGACACAUCAUGAAGAUGUUGAUGCAUCACUACAUGUUAGAUAUCUUCAAUAAUUUAUCGUAGUCCAUUUUUGUCAAGGUUGUCGAUGAAGAUCUAGUGCCAUGAAAAGCUGGCCAGCUCCACCAAGACCACAUAUUCGUUACAAUAAGCUUGAGAUUCACAGAUAAAGAAUUACAGUGGACAGACCAAAAGCCUGCCUAACCUUCCACAUCAAUCAGACGAUACACUUAUCAGAACCUUCUGUUAGAAACCUCUCAGCAAUCACCCAUGUUCCCCAAGACAAUGACCCUAUGAAGCCCCCUUGUACAUGAUAUCGUGGACCGAAUCAAACUAUCNNNNNNNNNNNNNNNNNNCUGUAUCAAAGGGUCGAAAAGGAAGAAAAGAGACAAAUUAAAAAUUGGAUGGAAGUCAUCAAAAAGGAUUUAGAGAAGUUGCUACUAACAAAGAGAGUGGUCUUUCUUUUCGCUACAAAAAGGAAGUGGUCCUUAAAUGGAUCAAAUAACAAAGAAGGAUAUAAAAAUGAUAUACUACGUAAUAGAGAUAGCUUUCAGGUGUGGUUAUGGUUGUGGUUUAUUCCAACUAGAAAGACAAGAUCAAACAUGUGAGUUAAACAGAUUCUAUGGACAUGUCAUGUUUUCUUUUAAAAAAAAAUUGAAAAAAAGAGAACUUUUGGAACAGUAGAAGAUCGAACUUAUUUACCCCCAAAAAUACAUAAUAUAUACAAGAAUAGCAGCAACAUUAAAUGAAAAUUUAGUAGUCUAAAACUGAAUCUACCAUUGUGCUAGGCGCACAGUUGCUAGUAGAUGUCAGAUAUAGAACAGGCUAAUUUAGAAAUUCAAAUUUGUCCACAAUAACCACCCACAAUUAAACAGUUUCAGAAUAUAAACACCGUUAUCAUGACAUUUAUAGAUCAUCAAAGAAAAGAAUAGUGGAGAAAUCAAGUUGUGAGUAACAAAAAAU